UCCCUGGUGGUCCAGUGGCUAGGAUUCAGCGAUUUCACUGCUGUGGCCCAGGUUCAAUUCCUGGUCAGGGAA